rnacentral:tRNA from 1 species
UAUUAUAUUUGAUCAAUAUCAAUGGAAUGCAUUAUUUCCAAAUGGAUUUUUGCAGUCAUUCUCAUCAUAACACCAAAUUCAUUU